rnacentral:pre_miRNA from 1 species
ACCAACAAUGUCCAGAGCGGGUAUUCUCGGGUGAAUAAUAUUCUUUUACAUUUUGGUUGUAUUAUUGCUUGAGAAUACACGUCACUGACAGACAAUGCA